rfam:Xanthomonadaceae bacterium 3.5X genomic scaffold scaffold1, whole genome shotgun sequence.
UGUUCCCUGCGGUGUACGACAGCGUUUCGUUACAUUUGCCUUGUUCCUAACUUUCGACCUGGGUCGGCAACAAGGUGGCCGGUGAGCAUGUCCGUCGCGUACGGAAAGCCUGAAACGCCAUCUGCGCCCUCCCACCUGAUCCUUCCGGAUCAAGGUCGUUCGAAGCGCAUCGGCAUUGUGGAGAACAC